CUGAUCCCUUCCCGAACUCAGAAGUGAAACCUCUUUGCGCUGAUGGUAGUGUGGGAUUACCCAUGUGAGAGUAAGUCAUCGCCAGCA
rnacentral:rRNA from 1 species